UAAUUAAUUUGUAUAACAUGCAGUUACAAGUAAGCAGUAGUUACUUAGCAAUGAGUAGUCUAUUUCUGCUCCAUUGGCUAACAGUUAUCGAUAUAAUUGAAGCGAGAUCGAAUAACGCGUUCAAUAACACGGUGAAAUUGAUCCGUAACACACUCAGUGGCAGAGAUCUUUUAAAUUAGUAACGAUAUGAUAAGCACUGGCUUAGUGGAAUUGUAGUAAAUAUUCGGAGACAGUGUGAGAUACAAGGAAAAGAAAGUAAUUCACGUGAUACAUUAAUUUGACGAACAGUGGCGAAUUAACGGCAGUAAAAUUCUUCAACAUCGUCACUGUAGGGCUGUAAAGUAAUGUUACGCAGGAACAGGCGGCAUCGAAAAGGAUGCACUUAUAGGUGCAGUCCGAGAAUGACGUCAACCUAUUGCCUUUCUAUAAAUAUCGAGUUUCCAAAAGAAGUUCGUUGCCCACGCUUGCAACGCGAACAACAAGGAACCUAAAGAAAAAUUGUCAGCUCUGGCACAUUAUGCCAGCAGUUUAAUAUAGAGAAGUUUCCAACACGAUAGAGAUAUUUCCAAGCAAAG
rnacentral:lncRNA from 1 species